AUUGAACGCUGGCGGCAGGCCUAACACAUGCAAGUCGAGCGGAUGAAGGGAGCUUGCUCCUGGAUUCAGCGGCGGACGGGUGAGUAAUGCCUAGGAAUCUGCCUGGCAGUGGGGGAUAACGUCCGGAAACGGGCGCUAAUACCGCAUACGUCCUGAGGGAGAAAGUGGGGGAUCUUCGGACCUCACGCUAUCAGAUGAGCCUAGGUCGGAUUAGCUAGUUGGUGGGGUAAAGGCCUACCAAGGCGACGAUCCGUAACUGGUCUGAGAGGAUGAUCAGUCACACUGGAACUGAGACACGGUCCAGACUCCUACGGGAGGCAGCAGUGGGGAAUAUUGGACAAUGGGCGAAAGCCUGAUCCAGCCAUGCCGCGUGUGUGAAGAAGGUCUUCGGAUUGUAAAGCACUUUAAGUUGGGAGGAAGGGCAGUAAGUUAAUACCUUGCUGUUUUGACGUUACCAACAGAGUAAGCACCGGCUAACUUCGUG
rnacentral:rRNA from 1 species